GUAGGCAGCCAUUUCACCCUGCAGCCCAAGACUGGUUGCCCACUGAAGCUAAGCAGGGUUGAGCCUGGUCAGUACCUGGAUGGGAGACCUCCUGGGAAAACUAGGUUGCUGCUGGAA
rnacentral:rRNA from 1 species